AGCAGCCGCGGUAAUUCCAGCUCCAAUAGCGUAUAUUAAAGUUGUUGCAGUUAAAAAGCUCGUAGUUGAAUUUCGGGAUCAAUUGAUUGGUCAUGCCUUGGUAUGAACUGGUCAUAUUGGUUCUCACCUUCUAAUGAACCAUAAUGUCAUUCACUUGAUGUUAUGGGGAAUUAGGACUGUUACCUUGAAAAAAUUAGAGUGUUUAAAGCAGGCUUACGCUUGAAUACAUUAGCAUGGAAUAAUGAAAUAGGACAUCGCAUUCUAUUUUGUUGGUUUCUAGGAUCGAUGUAAUGAUUAAUAGGGAUAGUUGGGGGCAUUAGUAUUCAAUUGUCAGAGGUGAAAUUCUUGGAUUUAUUGAAGACUAACUACUGCGAAAGCAUUUGCCAAGGAUGUUUUCAUUAAUCAAGAACGAAAGUUAGGGGAUCGAAGACGAUCAGAUACCGUCGUAGUCUUAACCAUAAACUAUGCCGACUAGGGAUCGGAUGAUGUUAAUUUUAAAUGUA
rnacentral:sRNA from 1 species